rnacentral:rRNA from 1 species
UACCAGCACCCCGAGUGGUCGGGACGUUUUAUUGGGCCUAAAGCAUCCGUAGCCGGUUCUACAAGUCUUCCGUUAAAUCCAUCUGCUUAACAGAUGGGCUGCGGAAGAUACUAUAGAGCUAGGAGGCGGGAGAGGCAAGCGGUACUCGAUGGGUAGGGGUAAAAUCCGUCGAUCCAUUGAAGACCACCAGUGGCGAAGGCGGCUUGCCAGAACGCGCUCGACGGUGAGGGAUGAAAGCUGGGGGAGCAA